GGGUUGUGAGGUUAAGCGACUAAGCGUACACGGUGGAUGCCCUGGCAGUCAGAGGCGAUGAAGGACGUGCUAAUCUGCGAUAAGCGUCGGUGAGGUGAUAUGAACCGUUAUAACCGGCGAUUUCCGAAUGGGGAAACCCAGUGUGAUUCGUCACACUAUCAUUAACUGAAUCCAUAGGUUAAUGAGGCGAACCGGGGGAACUGAAACAUCUAAGUACCCCGAGGAAAAGAAAUCAACCGAGAUUCCCCCAGUAGCGGCGAGCGAACGGGGAGGAGCCCAGAGCCUGAAUCAGUGUGUGUGUUAGUGGAAGCGUCUGGAAAGGCGUGCGAUACAGGGUGACAGCCCCGUACACAAAAAUGCACAUAUUGUGAGCUCGAUGAGUAGGGCGGGACACGUGGUAUCCUGUCUGAAUAUGGGGGGACCAUCCUCCAAGGCUAAAUACUCCUGACUGACCGAUAGUGAACCAGUACCGUGAGGGAAAGGCGAAAAGAACCCCGGCGAGGGGAGUGAAAAAGAACCUGAAACCGUGUACGUACAAGCAGUGGGAGCCUCUUAAUGGGGUGACUGCGUACCUUUUGUAUAAUGGGUCAGCGACUUAUAUUCUGUAGCAAGGUUAACCGAAUAGGGGAGCCGAAGGGAAACCGAGUCUUAACUGGGCGUUAAGUUGCAGGGUAUAGACCCGAAACCCGGUGAUCUAGCCAUGGGCAGGUUGAAGGUUGGGUAACACUAACUGGAGGACCGAACCGACUAAUGUUGAAAAAUUAGCGGAUGACUUGUGGCUGGGGGUGAAAGGCCAAUCAAACCGGGAGAUAGCUGGUUCUCCCCGAAAGCUAUUUAGGUAGCGCCUCGUGAAUUCAUCUCCGGGGGUAGAGCACUGUUUCGGCAAGGGGGUCAUCCCGACUUACCAACCCGAUGCAAACUGCGAAUACCGGAGAAUGUUAUCACGGGAGACACACGGCGGGUGCUAACGUCCGUCGUGAAGAGGGAAACAACCCAGACCGCCAGCUAAGGUCCCAAAGUCAUGGUUAAGUGGGAAACGAUGUGGGAAGGCCCAGACAGCCAGGAUGUUGGCUUAGAAGCAGCCAUCAUUUAAAGAAAGCGUAAUAGCUCACUGGUCGAGUCGGCCUGCGCGGAAGAUGUAACGGGGCUAAACC
rnacentral:rRNA from 1 species